rnacentral:rRNA from 1 species
UACGGGGGGGGCAAGCGUUGUUCGGAAUUACUGGGCGUAAAGGGCUCGUAGGCGGCCAACUAAGUCAGACGUGAAAUCCCUCGGCUUAACCUGGGAACUGCGUUUGAUACGGAUGGGCUAGAGUUCGGGAGAGGAGAGUGGAAUUCCCAGUGUAGAGGUGAAAUUCGUAGAUAUUGGGAAGAACACCGGUGGCGAAGGCGGCUCUCUGGACCGAGACUGACGCUGAGGCGCGAAAGCGUGGGGAGCAAACAGG